rnacentral:rRNA from 1 species
GACGAACGCUGGCGGCGUGCUUAACACAUGCAAGUCGAACGGAAAGGCCCUGCUUUUGUGGGGUGCUCGAGUGGCGAACGGGUGAGUAACACGUGAGUAACCUGCCCUUGACUUUGGGAUAACUUCAGGAAACUGGGGCUAAUACCGGAUAGGAGCUCCUGCUGCAUGGUGGGGGUUGGAAAGUUUCGGCGGUUGGGGAUGGACUCGCGGCUUAUCAGCUUGUUGGUGGGGUAGUGGCUUACCAAGGCUUUGACGGGUAGCCGGCCUGCGGGGGUGACCGGCCACAUUGGGACAGAGAUGCGGCACAGACUACUACGGGAGGCAGCAGUGGGGAAUAUUGCACAAUGGGCGGAAGCCUGAUGCAGCAACGCCGCGUGCGGGAUGACGGCCUUCGGGUUGUAAACCGCUUUCGCCUGUGACGAAGCGUGAGUGACGGUAAUGGGUAAAGAAGCACCGGCUAACUACGUG